rnacentral:rRNA from 1 species
GACGAACGCUGGCGGCGUGCUUAACACAUGCAAGUCGAACGGAAAGGCCUAGCUUGCUGGGUACUCGAGUGGCGCACGGGUGAGUAACGCGUAUCCAACCUGCCUCUGACUGAGGGAUAACCCGUCGAAAGUCGGCCUAAUACCUCAUGGCAUCGUCUGCGGGCAUCCAACGACGAUUAAAGAUUUCAUCGGUCAGGGAUGGGGAUGCGUCUGAUUAGCUUGUUGGCGGGGUAACGGCCCACCAAGGCGACGAUCAGUAGGGGUUCUGAGAGGAAGGUCCCCCACAUUGGAACUGAGACACGGUCCAAACUCCUACGGGAGGCAGCAGUGAGGAAUAUUGGUCAAUGGGCGGGAGCCUGAACCAGCCAAGUAGCGUGCAGGAUGACGGCCCUAUGGGUUGUAAACUGCUUUUAUGCGGGGAUAAAGUGAGGGACGUGUCCCUCAUUGCAGGUACCGCAUGAAUAAGGACCGGCUAAUUCCGUG